AUGGCCAUCUCAGCAAGUUCCCAAUUGAAAAAAGGCAUCAAGCAGGUGUAUAGGGCCCUGCCUCAGGGUGAGAAAGUCCGGGCCAUGUAUAUCUGGAUCGAUGGCACAGGAGAGGGACUGCGCUGCAAGACCCGAACCCUAGACUCUGAGCCCAAGAGUACAGAAGAGUUGCCUGAGUGGAAUUUUGAUGGCUCCAGUACUUUCCAGUCUGAAGGCUCUAACAGUGACAGGUAUCUCCUCCCUGCUGCCAUGUUUCGGAAUCCAACAAGCUGGUGUUCUGUGAAGUCUUUAAGUACAACCAAAAGCCUGCAGAGAUCUAUUUAAGGCACACCUGUAAAUGGAUAAUGGACACGGUGAGCAAUCAACACCCCUGGUUUGGAAUGGAGCAGGAAUACAUCCUCAUGGGGACAGAUGGCCACUCAUUUGGUUGGCCUUCCAAUGGUUUCUCUGGACACCAAGGUCCCUAUUACUGUGGUGUGGGAGCAGAUAAAGCUUACUGCAGGGACACUGUGGAGGCUCACUACCGGGCGUGCUUAUUUGGUGGCAUCAAGAUUGGGGGGGACAAAUGCAGAAGUCAUGCCUGCCCAGUGGGAGUUCCAGAUAGGCCCCUGUGAAGGAAUUGACAUGGGAGAUCAUCUCUGGGUGGCCUGUUUCAUCCUGCACUGUGUAUGUGAAGACUCUGGCGUUAUAGCGACCUUCGACCCCAAGCCCAUCCCUGGGAACUGGAACGGUGCUGGAUGUCAUACCAACUUUAGCACCAAGGCCAUGCGAGAAGAGAACAGUCUGAAGCACAUUGAUGAGUCCAUCGAGAGACUAAGCAAGCGGCACCAGUACCACAUCCGCGCCUACGAUCCCAAAGGAGGCCUGCACAAUGCCCGGCACCUGACUGGAUUCCACAAAACCUCCAACAUCAACGACUUUUCUGCCGGUGUGGCCAACCAUGGUGCCAGCAUCCACAUUCCUCGGACUGUUGGCCAGAAGAAGGGUUACUUUGAAGACCACUUUAAGUGUGGAGUGGCCAUUGCCCUCAAGGGCAGGGCUAAACCUAGCCUGCAGAGUUCUCUCUGGGACAUGGAUGUCAGUGCCCAGCACGUGGCCCUGGUAGGAGCCACAGGGCGAAAGGGCUUUGGCAGCGUACAGAGGCUUCUCGCAGACAGCACUGCCGACAGUGACAGGCAGCAGGAGCGGCAGACUGCACUCAGCGAUGGCAAGGUCACCACCGCGGCGGCCGAGGUCCUGCUCAACCCUGAGCAUUUCUGA